UGCAUGCGAAUCACAUGUAGCCCCAGGUACCAAAGUGCUGUUGGACUGUUGGAGUAAGUGAACGAGAGAGAGAGAGUAUGUGUGUGCCUCCAAGGUGAUGGGACUCCAACCGAACGUGCCCGUCUUGCCACUCCAAUUAAUUUAGCAUUAUAUCUAUCACGUAUCUCUAGUGCGUAUAUUUUGGAAUUUUUAUAAUUUUUUUGAUAGGGUGCUAUUUGCUUUGUUUUAAUUACAUUUUUGUCUUCAAAAAAGAAGGACAAGUAUAUGAGUCGUAGACUUGUACGUGUACAUUAAAUUUGGCUUUAUACUGUCUAUCCAAAAAUAAUCGUGGGGAAAAAGAUUAUAGGAAGAGACCUCAAUACGUAAAUCCAUAUCAUUAUUGUAAAUUGUAGUUGAAUAUUCAAAGAGAGAGACACAGAGCAUUUAUUAUAUAAAGAUGUAUAUAAUUUCUAGGAGCCGCGAGGACGGAGGAGUGAAGUUGAAGCCUGGACUGCAGUUUCUUCUUCUUCUUUUUUUUUUUUCUUUUUCUUUUUUGGUUCUUCGCACAGAAAGCGAAGCUUGUCUUUCGCUGCGCUGUUAUGCUUUUGGUCACUGGAGCUUCUCAAAUUUCAAAGUAAAAAAGAUGGAAGGAGGAAAA
rnacentral:lncRNA from 1 species